rnacentral:rRNA from 1 species
AUCGAUUGGGAAGGUGGGGCUGAUAGUGAAGAUGAAAGGAAAGAUAUGGAGGCAAUGGUUACGAAAAAAGUGGAGAGGAGAAGCAGUUCUGCAAAGGAUGAGUCAAAAAUAGUUUCUGCUGACUCAGUCGAUGUCGAUUUCGAAC